GACGAACGCUGGCGGCGUGCCUAAUACAUGCAAGUAGAACGCUGAAGGAGGAGCUUGCUUCUCUGGAUGAGUUGCGAACGGGUGAGUAACGCGUAGGUAACCUGCCUGGUAGCGGGGGAUAACUAUUGGAAACGAUAGCUAAUACCGCAUAACAGUAGAUAUCGCAUGAUAUCUACUUGAAAGGUGCAAUUGCAUCACUACCAGAUGGACCUGCGUUGUAUUAGCUAGUUGGUGAGGUAACGGCUCACCAAGGCGACGAUACAUAGCCGACCUGAGAGGGUGAUCGGCCACACUGGGACUGAGACACGGCCCAGACUCCUACGGGAGGCAGCAGUAGGGAAUCUUCGGCAAUGGACGGAAGUCUGACCGAGCAACGCCACGUGAGUGAAGAAGGUUUUCGGAUCGUAAAGCUCUGUUGUAAGAGAAGAACGAGUGUGAGAGUGGAAAGUUCACACUGUGACGGUAUCUUACCAGAAAGGGACGGCUAACUACGUG
rnacentral:rRNA from 1 species